UACGAAGGGGGGCUAGCGUUGUUCGGAAUUACUGGGCGUAAAGCGCACGUAGGCGGACUAUUAAGUCAGGGGUGAAAUCCCGGGGCUCAACCCCGGAACUGCCUUUGAUACUGCUAGUCUCGAGUCCGGAAGAGGUGAGUGGAAUUCCGAGUGUAGAGGUGAAAUUCGUAGAUAUUCGGAGGAACACCAGUGGCGAAGGCGGCUCACUGGUCCGGUACUGACGCUGAGGUGCGAAAGCGUGGGGAGCAAACAGG
rnacentral:rRNA from 1 species